rnacentral:lncRNA from 7 species
AACAAGACACAGUACUGCAUAAGGAAAGGACUCCUGAGUGCUGGAUGCUACUUCUCCAUUUGACACAAGCUUGGUCUUACAAACAACAUGCCUAAGUGAAAGCAGUCCAGAUUCCUUCAGCACAAACGUGUCCCCGCAGCGGUCCUAUAGAUGCCAUGGAGGAAACUGAUUUACAGAAACAACGCAGAAAAACAGUCUUGGGUUCCAAGUUCAAGUUGUGGAACCAACUGUGAAAACCGUUCUUGGUCAGAAAAUCAAAAAGGGUCAUCUGACAGUCAAGAGGAGGAAGACGAAGAAUGAUGAAGAACGGGGGUCUUGGGACCACUGAUAACCACCAGAGGGCUGUUUUGUACACACUCAAGUGGACCACCAGAGGGCUGUUUUGCACACACUCAAGUGAAAUUAACAUAUAUUCACUGAGUUCCCAGAAAAGUAAUUAAUAUGUUAAGUUGUGUUGCAUAUGUAUACUCUGAAUGUAUAAAUGAUGUAUCUGACUUCCACCUGAUGCACUUGGCUUGGUCCAGGACGUUCAUCACCAGUGUUAUGAAUAAAGAAUGCCCACUUUCUAACACCACAUGGGAGUUAAGAGUUAUUUCCCAACUUUGGAUGACACUACCAUUAGUAUUUUGACAGAGCAGAAGUUAAUGACACAACAUGGAAAAUAAGUAAGAACACCGAAUUUUAAAAGAAUUCAAAACACUUAUUCAAACUGUUUAUGAAGCAAUUGUUUAGAAUGCUUUGGCAACAGUCUAAAUGUUUACCUUGUAACUAGUUACCAAUGCCACAUAUGAAGGCACACACAGAAGUUCUGCACAU